rnacentral:rRNA from 2 species
GCGGACGGGUGAGUAACACGUAGGUAACCUGCCCAGAAGCGGGGGACAACAUUUGGAAACAGAUGCUAAUACCGCAUAACAGCGUUGUUCGCAUGAACAACGCUUAAAAGAUGGCUUCUCGCUAUCACUUCUGGAUGGACCUGCGGUGCAUUAGCUUGUUGGUGGGGUAACGGCCUACCAAGGCGAUGAUGCAUAGCCGAGUUGAGAGACUGAUCGGCCACAAUGGGACUGAGACACGGCCCAUACUCCUACGGGAGGCAGCAGUAGGGAAUCUUCCACAAUGGGCGCAAGCCUGAUGGAGCAACACCGCGUGAGUGAAGAAGGGUUUCGGCUCGUAAAGCUCUGUUGUUAAAGAAGAACACGUAUGAGAGUAACUGUUCAUACGUUGACGGUAUUUAACCAGAAAGUCACGGCUAACUACGUGCCAGCAGCCGCGGUAAUACGUAGGUGGCAAGCGUUAUCCGGAUUUAUUGGGCGUAAAGAGAGUGCAGGC